rnacentral:rRNA from 1 species
CCUACGGGAAGCAGCAGUGAGGAAUAUUGGUCAAUGGGCGCGAGCCUGAACCAGCCAAGUCGCGUGAGGGAAGACGGCCCUACGGGUUGUAAACCUCUUUUGCCGGGGAGCAACGGGCGCCACGUGUGGCGCCACUGAGAGGACCCGGAGAAAAAGCAGCGGCUAACUCCGUGCCAGCAGCCGCGGUAAUACGGAGGAUGCGAGGGUGAGCCGGAUUUAUUGGGUUUAAAGGGUGCGUCGGCGGAGCGGUAAGUCAGUGGUCAAAUUGCGGGGCUCACCCCCUUCCCGCCAUUGAAACUGGCGCUCUUGCGUGGACGAGAAUUAUGCGGAAUGCGUGUUGUAGCGGU